rnacentral:rRNA from 1 species
GAUGAACGCUGGCGGCGUGCCUAAUACAUGCAAGUCGAGCGAACAGACGAGGAGCUUGCUCCUCUGACGUUAGCGGCGGACGGGUGAGUAACACGUGGAUAACCUACCUAUAAGACUGGGAUAACUUCGGGAAACCGGAGCUAAUACCGGAUAAUAUGUUGAACCGCAUGGUUCAAUAGUGAAAGACGGUUUUGCUGUCACUUAUAGAUGGAUCCGCGCCGCAUUAGCUAGUUGGUAAGGUAACGGCUUACCAAGGCAACGAUGCGUAGCCGACCUGAGAGGGUGAUCGGACACACUGGAACUGAGACACGGUCCAGACUCCUACGGGAGGCAGCAGUAGGGAAUCUUCCGCAAUGGGCGAAAGCUUGACGGAGCAACGCCGCGUGAGUGAUGAAGGUCUUCGGAUCGUAAAACUCUGUUAUUAGGGAAGAACAAAUGUGUAAGUAACUAUGCACGUCUUGACGGUACCUAAUCAGAAAGCCACGGCUAACUACGUG